rnacentral:rRNA from 1 species
AUUGAACGCCGGCGGCAUGCCUUACACAUGCAAGUCGAGCGGAUGAGGGAAGCUUGCUUCCCGAUUUAGCGGCGGACGGGUGAGUAAUGCCUAGGAAUCUGCCUAUUAGUGGGGGAUAACGUUCCGAAAGGAACGCUAAUACCGCAUACGUCCUACGGGAGAAAGUGGGGGAUCUUCGGACCUCACGCUACUAGAUGAGCCUAGGUCGGAUUAGCUAGUUGGUGGGGUAACGGCUCACCAAGGCGACGAUCCGUAGCUGGUCUGAGAGGAUGAUCAGCCACACUGGAACUGAGACACGGUCCAGACUCCUACGGGAGGCAGCAGUGGGGAAUUGUUCGCAAUGGGCGCAAGCCUGACGACGCAACGCCGCGUGGAGGAUGAAGGUCUUCGGAUUGUAAACUCCUGUUGACCGGGACGAAUGGGCGACGACCUAACACGUCGGAGCAGUGACGGUACCGGUUGAGGAAGCCACGGCUAACUCUGUGCCAGCAGCCGCCGUAA